rnacentral:rRNA from 1 species
UUUGACCUCAAAUCAGGUAGGACUACCCGCUGAACUUAAGCAUAUCAAUAAGCGGAGGAAAAGAAACUAACAAGGAUUCCCCUAGUAACUGCGAGUGAAGCGGGAAAAGCUCAAAUUUGAAAUCUGGCAGUCUAUUUUUUCUUCUUUGGCUGUCCGAGUUGUAAUCUAGAGAAGUGCUUACCUGCACUGGACCAUGUAUAAGUCUCCUGGAAUGGA